GACGAACGCUGGCGGCGUGCCUAAUACAUGCAAGUCGAACGCUGAAGGAGGAGCUUGCUUCUCUGGAUGAGUUGCGAACGGGUGAGUAACGCGUAGGUAACCUGCCUGGUAGUGGGGGAUAACUAUUGGAAACGAUAGCUAAUACCGCAUAAGAGUAGAUGUUGCAUGACAUUUGCUUAAAAGGUGCAAUUGCAUCACUACCAGAUGGACCUGCGUUGUAUUAGCUAGUUGGUGGGGUAACGGCUCACCAAGGCGACGAUACAUAGCCGACCUGAGAGGGUGAUCGGCCACACUGGGACGGAGACACGGCCCAGACGCCUACGGGAGGCAGCAGGAGGGAAUCUUCGGCAAUGGACGGAAGACUGACCGAGCAACGCCGCGGGAGUGAAGAAGGUUGUCGGAUCGUAAAGCUCGGUUGUAAGAGAAGAACGAGUGUGAGAGUGGAAAGUUCACACUGUGACGGUAACUUACCAGAAAGGGACGGCUAACUACGUG
rnacentral:rRNA from 1 species